CUACGGGGGGCAGCAGUGGGGAAUAUUGCACAAUGGGCGCAAGCCUGAUGCAGCCAUGCCGCGUGUAUGAAGAAGGCCUUCGGGUUGUAAAGUACUUUCAGCGGGGAGGAAGGGAGUAAAGUUAAUACCUUUGCUCAUUGACGUUACCCGCAGAAGAAGCACCGGCUAACUCCGUGCCAGCAGCCGCGGUAAUACGGAGGGUGCAAGCGUUAAUCGGAAUUACUGGGCGUAAAGCGCACGCAGGCGGUUUGUUAAGUCAGAUGUGAAAUCCCCGGGCUCACCCUGGGAACUGCAUCUGAUACUGGCAAGCUAGAGGCUCGUAGAGGGGGGUAGAAUUCCAGGUGUAGCGGUGAAAUGCGUAGAGAUCUGGAGGAAUACCGGUGGCGAAGGCGGCCCCCUGGACGAAGACUGACGCUCAGGUGCGAAAGCGUGGGGAGCAAACAGGAUUAGAUACCCCGGUAGUC
rnacentral:rRNA from 1 species